UCGCAGAAGUCAUAUCCUGGACCUGGCGGC
rnacentral:piRNA from 1 species